AGUGUCACUGCCCUUCCCACUGUUCUCCUGCAGAAGAGCAGGGGAAGGAAGCACCAGGGUCCAUCACGGAGUUGUGACAACUGAGAUUCAGAGAUGUCCAAUCUACUCACACAAAUAGCCUGGUUGAAGAUGGCCGCGUGUAAACCAGAAUGCAAGUCAGCUGGGGCACGUACUACUGGAGGCAGAGCCCCAUGAGAAGGGGCCAAGAACCCGCACCCAUCAAAAUCAAGAAGAAAGGCUGAACCCGGAGAGAAAAGGGAGCAACUGAUGUUGCCAUGCAGAUCCCUUGGUUGCUAUGAGAUGGUAACAUCACUCUGCCCCACCAUUGGCCAGUGCCUCCUCAGCUGCGGUGCCUCCCAGGCUGUGUGGUUCUCACGCGGGCCGCUGACACAGAGCUGUUACUAUGGUGAACUUUACAAUUUCCUUUGAUUGGUGGAUUUCAGAAAUAGGCCAUCAGCGGAAUUCAUUAUAUUCAGCUAAGUCAAAAUGAAAAAUAAA
rnacentral:antisense_RNA from 1 species